rnacentral:rRNA from 1 species
UACGAAGGGGGGCUAGCGUUGUCCGGAAUCAUUGGGCGUAAAGCGCGCGUAGGCGGCCCUGUAAGUCCGUUGUGAAAGUCAAAGGCUCAACCUUUGAAAGCCGAUGGAUACUGCAGGGCUAGAGUCCGGAAGAGGCGAGUGGAAUUCCUGGUGUAGCGGUGGAAUGCGCAGAUAUCAGGAGGAACACCAAUAGCGAAGGCAGCUCGCUGGGACGGUACUGACGCUAAGGCGCGAAAGCGUGGGGAGCGAACAGG